rnacentral:rRNA from 1 species
UACGGAGGGUGCAAGCGUUGUUCGGAAUCACUGGGCGUAAAGGGCGUGUAGGCGGCCUGUUAAGUCCGAUGUGAAAUCCCCUCGCUCAACGAGGGAACUGCGUCGGAAACUGGCAGGCUAGAGUACCGGAGAGGAAGGUGGAAUUCCCGGUGUAGCGGUGAAAUGCGCAGAUAUCAGGAGGAACACCGGUGGCGAAGGCGGGUCUCUGGGCCGAUACUGACGCUGAGGAGCGAAAGCGUGGGGAGCAAACAGG